AACGAACGCUGGCGGCAUGCCUAACACAUGCAAGUCGAACGGGAUCUUGACUUCGGUCAGGUGAGAGUGGCGGACGGGUGAGUAACACGUGGGAACCUGCCUUUUGGUUCGGGAUAACCGCGGGAAACUGCGGCUAAUACCGGAUACUCCCGAGAGGGGAAAGAUUUAUCGCCAGAAGAGGGGCCCGCGUCCGAUUAGGUAGUUGGUGGGGUAAUGGCCUACCAAGCCGACGAUCGGUAGCUGGUCUGAGAGGAUGAUCAGCCACACUGGGACUGAGAUACGGCCCAGACUCCUACGGGAGGCAGCAGUGGGGAAUAUUGGACAAUGGGCGAAAGCCUGAUCCAGCAAUGCCGCGUGAGUGAUGAAGGCCUUAGGGUUGUAAAGCUCUUUACCCGGGAUGAUAAUGACAGUACCGGGAGAAUAAGCCCCGGCUAACUCCGUGCCAGCAGCCGCGGUAAU
rnacentral:rRNA from 1 species